GAAAAAUUAAAUCCAAAUUGGAGAAUCGAACGGGGAUUUCUUCGGACCCCAAAUCAAAUCAAAUUGGAAAAUCAAAUCCAAAACUCAAAUAAAAUCCAAACCUAAAACCAAAUCAAGUCCACAACCCAAGUCCACAUCCAAACCUAAUCCAAACCUAGUCUACAAAUAAACCCAAACUUGAACCCAAACCCAAACCCAAACCAAACCUAGACUACAAAUAAACCCAAACUUGAACCCAAAUCCAAACCCUAAUCCAAACCUAGUCUACAAAUAAACCCAAACUUGAACCCAAAUAAACCAAAACCUAAAUCAAGUCAAGUUCAAACCCAAACAAAACCCAAAACCCAAACAAACCCAAACCAAACUAAACCAAGUCCACAAAUAAAC
rnacentral:lncRNA from 1 species